rnacentral:lncRNA from 1 species
GUGGCUGGCGGCGGGGCCUGGGUGUCCGCCCAGUGCCCGAGGACGCAGGCUUUGGCACCGAAGCCCGGCAUCAGAGGCAACCCCGCGGCUCCUGCCAACGGUCGGGGCCCCUCGGGGACCAGCCCUUCGCGGGGCUGCUGCCAAAAAACCUCAGUCGGGAGGAGCUGGUUGAUGCGCUGCGGGCAGCCGUGGUGGACCGGAAAGGACCUCUAGUGACGUUGAACAAGCCACAGGGUCUACCAGUGACAGGAAAACCAGGAGAGCUGACGUUGUUCUCAGUGCUGCCAGAGCUGAGCCAGUCCCUAGGGCUCAGGGAGCAGGAGCUUCAGGUUGUCCGAGCAUCUGGGAAAAAGCUCUGGGCUUGUACUCCUCUCCAGCUGUCCCCAGACAGCUAGUCGCCUCCAGAAGUACUUCACCCAUGCACGGAGAGCCCAAAGGCCCACAGCCACCUACUGUGCUGUCACUGAUGGGAUCCCAGCUGCUUCUGAGGGGAAGAUCCAGGCUGCCCUGAAACUGGAACACAUUGAUGGGGUCAAUCUCGUGAGUCCGGGCCCCAUCCCGAAAGGACAUCCUGGAAGGUGUCAAGAAGACUCUCAGUCACUUUCGUGUGGUAGCCACAGGCUCUGGCUGUGCCCUGGUCCAGCUGCAGCCACUGACAGUGUUCUCCAGUCAACUACAGGUGCACAUGGUACUACAGCUCUGCCCUGUGCUUGGGGACCACAUGUACUCUGCCCGUGUGGGCACUGUCCUGGGCCAGCGAUUUCUGCUGCCAGCUGAGAACAACAAGCCCCAAAGACAGGUCCUGGAUGAAGCCCUCCUCAGACGCCUCCACCUGACCCCCUCCCAGGCUGCCCAGCUGCCCUUGCACCUCCACCUACAUCGGCUCCUUCUCCCAGGCACCAGGGCCAGGGACACCCCUGUUGAGCUCCUGGCACCACUGCCCCCUUAUUUCUCCAGGACCCUACAGUGCCUGGGGCUCCGCUUACAAUAGUCCUCCCUCUGUUCCUGACCCCCUCACACACACUGGAAAGUGAGGGUGGGGGCUCUGCAGUCAGACAAACCUAAGAUCACAUCCUGGACAGGCCACUUGCUUGCUGUGUGGCAUUGGGCAAGUAACUUUACCUCUCUGGACUUGUGAUAAUAAAAGUUCCUAC